rnacentral:sRNA from 1 species
GAUGGUUACUACAAGGAUUGAAGGCAAUGGGCUGGAAACACGCACCCAGCUCAGACCCUGCCUUCAGUCAGUGCCGGAAUCCUUCCUUGACCCCAGCCUCACCGUGAGACACCGGGCCCUUCACUCAGAAAGGCCUCCGUCAGUCAGCACCUUGGCCGCCCACUACCCACCGUCCACCUGAUCAUCACCCUGAGGGAUUACGUCCCCAGGAUCCUGGGACCCGAGGCCUUCCAGCAGUACGUGGGUCCCUAUGAAGGCUAUGACUCCACCGCCAACCCCACUGUGUCCAACGUGUUCUCCACAGCCGCCUUCCGCUUCGGCCACGCCACGAUCCACCCGCUGGUGAGGAGGCUGGACGCCAGCUUCCAGGAGCACCCCGACCUGCCCGGGCUGUGGCUGCACCAGGCCUUCUUCAGCCCAUGGACACUCCUCCGUGGAGGUUACAAUGAGUGGAGGGAGUUCUGCGGCCUGCCUCGCCUGGAGACCCCCGCUGACCUGAGCACAGCCAUCACCAGCAGGAGCGUGGCCGACAAGAUCCUGGACUUGUACAAGCAUCCUGACAACGUCGAUGUCUGGCUGGGAGGCUUAGCUGAAAACUUCCUCCCCAGGGCUCGGACAGGGCCCCUGUUUGCCUGUCUCAUUGGGAAGCAGAUGAAGGCUCUGCGGGACGGUGACUGAUGUGAACGAGUGUGCAGACGGUGCCCACCCCCCCUGCCACGCCUCUGCGAGGUGCAGAAACACCAAGGGCGGCUUCCAGUGCCUCUGCGCGGACCCCUACGAGUUAGGAGACGAUGGGAGAACCUGCGUAG